rnacentral:rRNA from 1 species
CAGCCGCCGCGGGAAUACGAAGGGUGCAAGCGUUAAUCGGAAUCACUGGGCGUAAAGCGUGCGUAGGCGGUGAGUUAAGUCAGAUGUGAAAUCCCCGGGCUCAACCUGGGAAUGGCAAUGGAUACUGGCAAGCUAGAGUGUGUCAGAGGAUGGUGGAAUUCCCGGAGUAGUGGUGAAAUGCGCGGAUACCGGGAGGAACGCCGAUGGCGAAGGCAGCCACCUGGUCCACUUCUGACGCUGAGGCACGAAAGCUAGGGGAGCAAACAGGAUUAGAUACCCCUGUAGUCCCUGUCUCUUAUAC